UGAAAAUAAUGAAACUGUAUGGUGCAGAAAGUGUUUUUUUCAUUGCAGUUUCUGCUGCUGGGAAAGCGGUAGAUCACUAUGGCUUCUGUACCGUGAAAUGGAGCUUAUGAUAAAUAAAAUACUGCUGCUUGCUGGUCACUGAUUCAAGAUCGUUCAGUGGCUACCAUUGGCCAAUCUCACCAACGGGAUAUAAUAAGAACUGAUGCAGGUUUAUAUCUAUAUGUAUUGUCUAUUCGGAACAAAGUUAGUACGCUUUUUAAAACCGAUGUUGGAUUUGUCUCCAGAUACAGGCAACCCACUUAACUUUGGAAGUAGUGCGCUGGAUUCGUCUAAAGAUGUACUAAAC